GAUCAUGGCUCAGGAUGAACGCUAGCUACAGGCUUAACACAUGCAAGUCGAGGGGAAACGAUAUUGGAAGCUUGCUUCCGAUAGGCGUCGACCGGCGCACGGGUGAGUAACGCGUAUCCAACCUGCCCACCACUUGGGGAUAACCUUGCGAAAGUAAGACUAAUACCCAACUGAUAUCUCUAGAAGAACAUCUGAAGAAGAUAAGAUUAUGUGAUGAUGGGAGUGNGU
rnacentral:rRNA from 1 species